CAUGUUUACAAGGACAGUGUAUAACCUGUGGACUUCACACUGUACAAGUACUUAUCUCAUGACAGGCGAAGUAUAGUUAACAGUGCCUGAAUAUAACACUGAUAAGGACUACAGGGCCAAAAAAAAAAACAUGUUGACCGUGUUCGUAUUCCUCUUGGCUGGAUGGUCAGUUACUCAAGGUUCUGUGGCGUCUUGGCCAGCAGAGUGCCCCAGACUCCCAUGUCCGCCCAUUCGAUGUGACAAGCCCGAGCAUACCUUUUACUACUUGCCGAAUGGAACGAGAUGCCCCGGAUGUGAAAAAUGCCCCAGUGAGUGUCCACAACCCCCUUGUCCACUGCCGCCGUGUAAACAUCCGGUGAAGACGUUCUAUUAUUUACCGGACGGUACCAGAUGUGAAGGGUGUGCCCAAUGCCCGUCGCUGGCUCGUCAAAGUCUCCAUCAA